rnacentral:rRNA from 1 species
UUGAAAGACACUGUCGCCGAAAGACCAAGGGUUCCUGCGUAAAGUUAAUCUGCGCAGGGUUAGUCGGCCCCUAAGGCGAGGCGGAAACGCGUAGUCGAUGGGAACCAGGUUAACAUUCCUGGACCAGGAGGUGGUGACAGAUCUCGAAAGUCGUACGGUCUUACUGGAUUGACCGUGCGGCCUGGAGGUCUCUGGAAAUAGCCCCUCCAUCAGACCGUACCCGAAACCGACACAGGUGGUCAGGUAGAGAAUACCAAGGCGCUUGAGAGAACUAUGCUGAAGGAACUAGGCAAAUUACACGCGUAACUUCGGGAUAAGCGUGCCUCAUUUAAAGGCAACUUUGAGUGAGGGGCACAAGCCAGGGGGUGGCGACUGUUUAUCAAAAACACAGGGCUCUGCGAAGCCGCAAGGCGACGUAUAGGGUCUGACUCCUGCCCGGUGCCGGAAGGUUAAAGAGAGGUGUGCAAGCAUCGAACUGAAGCCCCGGUGAACGGCGGCCGUAACUAUAACGGUCCUAAGGUAGCGAAAUUCCUUGUCGGGUAAGUUCCGACCUGCACGAAUGGAGUAACGACUUCCCCGCUGUCUCCAGCAUAGACUCAGUGAAAUUGAAUUCCCCGUGAAGAUGCGGGGUUCCCGCGGUUAGACGGAAAGACCCUGUGAACCUUAACUAUAACUUCGCAGUGGCGUUAUCGGUGGUUUGUGUAGGAUAGGCGGGAGGCUUUGAAGCAUGGGCGCCAGCUCGUGUGGAGCCAACGUUGAAAUACCGCCCUAAUCUUCGGUGACGUCUAACCUCGAUCCAUUAUCUGGAUCAGGGACCCUGCGUGGCGGGUAGUUUGACUGGGGCGGUCGCCUCCCAAAGAGUAACGGAGGCGCGCGAUGGUAGGCUCAGGACGGUCGGAAAUCGUCCGCUGAGUGCAAUGGCAUAAGCCUGCCUGACUGCGAGACUACAAGUCGAGCAGAGACGAAAGUCGGCCAUAGUGAUCCGGUGAUUCUGUGUGGAAGGGUCAUCGCUCAACGAAUAAAAGGUACUCCGGGGAUAACAGGCUGAUGAUGCCCAAGCGUCCAUAGCGACGGCAUCGUUUGGCACCUCGAUGUCGGCUCAUCUCAUCCUGGGGCUGGAGCAGGUCCCAAGGGUAUGGCUGUUCGCCAUUUAAAGAGGUACGUGAGCUGGGUUCAGAACGUCGUGAGACAGUUUGGUCCCUAUCUGCCGUGGGUGCUGGAAACUUGAGAGGAUUUGUCCCUAGUACGAGAGGACCGGGAUGAACAUACCUCUGGUGGACCAGUCGUGACGCCAGUCGCGCAGCUGGGUAGCUAUGUAUGGUCGGGAUAACCGCUGAAAGCAUCUAAGCGGGAAACCCACCUCAAAACCAGGUUUCCCUGAGAGCCGUGAUGAAAAG